rnacentral:lncRNA from 1 species
GGCUUUUUAGCUCAUCCUCUCCCCUCGUACUCCUCGUCGAGUUUCGGAGCCCGGCCACGAAAAAUAAAUCAGAAAAAGAUCGUGUGGGGGAGGGCUCGCAACUCCGGCGAUGAGAUGACCGCCCUCGUCGCCGACUCGCCCCCGCUCGAGCUGGCUCCCAUCGACUAUCCUUAGCCCCACCUCCUUCGCUCUGCAGCCCGGUCACCCUCACCGGAGCGGUGAGCUGCCAGACAGCUUCGCCGGAGAGGUCGCUUAAGGUUCCGCGGCGAGAUCUCCGAG